rnacentral:rRNA from 1 species
AACGAACGCUGGCGGCAUGCCUAACACAUGCAAGUCGAACGAGACCUUCGGGUCUAGUGGCGCACGGGUGCGUAACGCGUGGGAAUCUGCCCUUGGGUUCGGAAUAACAGCGAGAAAUUGCUGCUAAUACCGGAUGAUGACGUAAGUCCAAAGAUUUAUCGCCCAAGGAUGAGCCCGCGUAGGAUUAGCUAGUUGGUGAGGUAAAGGCUCACCAAGGCGACGAUCCUUAGCUGGUCUGAGAGGAUGAUCAGCCACACUGGGACUGAGACACGGCCCAGACUCCUACGGGAGGCAGUAGUGGGGAAUAUUGGACAAUGGGCGAAAGCCUGAUCCAGCAAUGCCGCGUGAGUGAUGAAGGCCUUAGGGUUGUAAAGCUCUUUUACCCGGGAUGAUAAUGACAGUACCGGGAGAAUAAGCUCCGGCUAACUCCGUGCCAGCAGCCGCGGUAAU